rfam:Brachypodium distachyon strain Bd21 chromosome 4, whole genome shotgun sequence.
AUGGUACUCCCUCUGUCCCAUAUUAGUUGUCUCAAAUUUGUCCAAAUUUGGAUGUAUCUAUGCCUAAAAAGCGUCUAGAUACAUUUAAUAUUUAUACAAUUAAUAUGGGACUGAGGGAGUACUAG